rnacentral:rRNA from 1 species
AUUGAACGCUGGCGGCAGGCCUAACACAUGCAAGUCGAACGAGGGGCGGACGGGUGAGUAAUGUCUGGGAAACUGCCCGAUGGAGGGGGAUAACUACUGGAAACGGUAGCUAAUACCGCAUACCAUCGGAUUUGCCCAGAUGGGAUUAGCUAGUAGGUGGGGUAACGGCUCACCUAGGCGACGAUCCCUAGCUGGUCUGAGAGGAUGACCGGCCACACUGGAACGAAGAAACGGUCCAGCCUCCUACGGGAGGAAGCAGUGGGGAAUAUUGCAAAAUGGACGAAAGCCUGAUGAAGCCAUGCCGCGUGUAUGAAGAAGGCCUUCGGGUUGUAAAGUACUUUCAUCGAGGAGGCGUUACUCGCAGAAGAAGCACCGGCUAACUCCGUGCCAGCAGCCGCGGUAAUUC